rnacentral:rRNA from 1 species
UACGUAGGGGGCAAGCGUUGUCCGGAUUUAUUGGGCGUAAAGAGCGUGUAGGCGGCUUGACAAGUCCGCUGUGAAAACUCGAGGCUCAACCUCGAGACGUCGGUGGAAACUGUCUCGCUAGAGUCCGGAAGAGGAGAGUGGAAUUCCUGGUGUAGCGGUGAAGUGCGCAGAUAUCAGGAAGAACACCCGUGGCUAAGGCGGCUCUCUAGUACGGUACUGACGCUGAGACGCGAAAGCGUGGGGAGCGAACAGG